rnacentral:RNase_P_RNA from 1 species
GGAGUCGAGCAGGCUGUCGCCCGGCACUCACUUUGCAGGCAAGCAUGCUUCUGGAAACGCGCUUCCCGGCAAGGUGAGUGCCGGGAGGAAAGUCCGGGCUCCACAGGGCGGGACGCUGGAUAACGUCCAGUGGGAGCGAUCCCAGGAAAGCGCCACAGAAAACAGACCGCCCGACACUCACUUUGCCGGGAAGCAUGUCUCCGCGAGACGAUUUUUCUCGGCAAAAUGAGUGCCGGGUAAGGGUGAAACGGUGGGGUAAGAGCCCACCAGUUGCCGCGGCGACGCGGCAAGCUUGGCAAGCCCCGUUCGGAGCAAGACCAAAUAGGAGGACGCGUGAGGCCGGCCCGGCCGAAGUCCUCGGGUAGGUUGCUGGAGGCAGGGAGCAAUCCUUGUCCUAGAGGAAUGACAGCCGCCCGACGCUCGCUUGGUCAGAACCAUAAAUCGCAUCCUGAUUUGCGGUUCUGACCAAGCGAGUGUCGGGAGACAGAACCCGGCUUAUCGCUCGGCUCCCGCG